rnacentral:rRNA from 1 species
ACGCGAAAGGGGCUUCGGCCCUGAGUAGAGUGGCAAACGGGUGAGUAUCGCGUGGGUGACCUGCCCUCGAGUGGGGGAUAACGUUCCGAAAGGGACGCUAAUACCGCAUAACAUCCUGCUUUUGAACAGGCGGUGAUCAAAGCCGGGGACCGCAAGGCCUGGCGCUUGAGGAGGGGCCCGCGUCCGAUUAGCUAGUUGGUAGGGUAACGGCCUACCAAGGCGACGAUCGGUAGCCGGCCUGAGAGGGCGGACGGCCACACUGGGACUGAGACACGGCCCAGACUCCUACGGGAGGCAGCAGUGGGGAAUUGUUCGCAAUGGGCGCAAGCCUGACGACGCAACGCCGCGUGGAGGAUGAAGGUCUUCGGAUUGUAAACUCCUGUUGACCGGGAAGAAUGCCUUUGGAGUGAACAACUCCAGAGGGUGACGGUACCGGUUGAGGAAGCCCCGGCUAACUCUGUGCCAGCAGCCGCGGUAAUACAGAGGGGGCAAGCGUUGUUCGGAAUUACUGGGCGUAGAGGGCGCGUAGGCGGCCAACUAAGUCAGACGUGAAAUCCCCAGGCUCAACCUGGGAACUGCGUCUGAUACUGGAUGGCUCGAAUCCGGGAGAGGGAUGUGGAAUUCCAGGUGUAGCGGUGAAAUGCGUAGAUAUCUGGAGGAACACCGGUGGCGAAGGCGGCAUCCUGGACCGGUAUUGACGCUGA